CAGUCGCCGCGGGAAUACAGAGGGUGCGAGCGUUAAUCGGAUUUACUGGGCGUAAAGCGUGCGUAGGCGGCUUCUUAAGUCGGAUGUGAAAUCCCUGAGCUUAACUUAGGAAUUGCAUUUGAUACUGGGAAGCUAGAGUAUGGGAGAGGAUGGUAGAAUUCCAGGUGUAGCGGUGAAAUGCGUAGAGAUCUGGAGGAAUACCGAUGGCGAAGGCAGCCAUCUGGCCUAAUACUGACGCUGAGGUACGAAAGCAUGGGGAGCAAACAGGAUUAGAUACCCCGGUAGUCCCUGUCUCUUAUAC
rnacentral:rRNA from 1 species